rnacentral:lncRNA from 1 species
CUGAAGAGGCUGCCCGGGCUUACGACGAGGCGGCGAAGCGCAUUCGUGGCGACAAGGCCAAGCUCAACUUUCCUCCGCCACCUCAAAUUCAGCCACAGGCUAGGAAGGUCUGUCCACCCAAAUUCACUGAGUCAACUCGGUCACCCACCUGGUCAACUCGGUCACUCACCCCCACCGAGUUCACUCUGUCACUCACACCCGCCGAGUUCACCGAGUCGUUUUACCCCACCGAGUCGACUCAGUCAUUCACUCCUACCUGGUCGACUCAGUCAUUCACUCCCACCGAGUCGACUCAGUCGUUCUCUCCCACCUGGUCGACUCAGCCAUUCACUCCCACCGAGUCGACUCAGUCAUCCUUCAGCUUCCCCACCGAGUUAGGCACCAACUCAGUGAUGGGGUUUGGAAUUUCUCAGCCGCCAAGCUUUGGUGCAGCC